AAUGCGCUUGUUGUAACUUAACAACAAACCAAAUGCCUAAAAGUAAACCUCAUUUAGUUAAGCUUGGAAUAACCGAAAAUACAAAACAAAAAAAACAAAAAGCUUGGUUAAGCUUAAAGUUUCUUAUCUAUUGAUAAUCAAUUAUCUACCCAGAAUUGAGCAUUUAAGUAUCGGUCUAAGCAUAGAAUAAGCAGCGGCCAACUUCUUUUCUCUUGUGGCUGCUAAGAUAAGCGCAUCGCUCGCGGUUAAACUCCAGUAUAUAUUUAACCCCCGGAAAAAAAAAGACACGUGGUGGGGAAUUUCCACAUAAGUUUCCCAAAACUAAACGCAGAGGGAAGUGAGCAGCGCUCAGUGUAUUAAAAGUGAAUUACAUUUUUGCGGUGCCAAUUCAAGGUCGAAUUGGCACCCAGUAAGAACCCAUUUGUGUAUUGUUCUUACAUUGGGAAUAAGUAUACAAUUCCCCAAGCAGCCAGUUUACCCUAAGAAGGGCUUCCAGCGCCACGCCGCGGGAUCUGAUGGAUUUAUUAUAAAUUAGUAUUCAUCGCUCAACCCGACAAAAGAUCUUUUGGACGUGGAAAUUAAACUCGAUAUUCAUCGCUCAACCCGACAAAAGAUCUUUUGGACGUGGAAAUUAAACUCGAUGUAAGUGAAAAAA